rnacentral:rRNA from 1 species
GACGAACGCUGGCGGCGUGCUUAACACAUGCAAGUCGAACGAUGAUGCCAGCUUGCUGGUGGAUUAGUGGCGAACGGGUGAGUAACACGUGAGCAACCUGCCCCUGACUUCGGGAUAACCGCGGGAAACCGUGGCUAAUACCGGAGAUGACGCGCUAUCGCAUGGUGGUGUGUGGAAAGAUUUAUCGGUUGGGGAUGGGCGCGCGGCCUAUCAGCUUGUUGGUGGGGUGAUGGCCUACCAAGGCGACGACGGGUAGCCGGCCUGAGAGGGUGACCGGCCACACUGGGACUGAGACACGGCCCAGACUCCUCCGGGAGGCAGCAGUGGGGAAUAUUGCACAAUGGGCGCAAGCCUGAUGCAGCGACGCCGCGUGAGGGAUGACGGCCUUCGAGUUGUAAACCUCUUUCAGUAGGGAAGCAGGCCUUCGGGUUGACGGUACCUGCAGAAGAAGCGCCGGCUAACUACGUG